rnacentral:rRNA from 1 species
GGGUGCGAUAAUACCAGCACUAAUGCCCCGGAUCCCAUUUGAACUCCGCAGCUAAGCGUGCUUGGGCGAGAGUAGUACUGGGAUGGGUGACCUCCUAGGAAGUCCUCAUGUUGCACCCC